CCAAUAGCGUAUAUUAAAGUUGUUGCAGUUAAAAAGCUCGUAGUUGAAUUUCGGGAUCAAUAUGCUGGUCGUGCCAUUGGUACGUACUAGUAUUAUUGGUUUCUUCCUUCUGAUGAAUCAUGAUGUCAUUAAGUUGAUGUCAUGGGGAAUCAGGACUGUUACUUUGAAAAAAUUAGAGUGUUUAAAGCAGGCUCGCGCUUGAAUACAUUAGCAUGGAAUAAUGAAAUAGGACGUUUGAUUCUAUUUUGUUGGUUUCUAGGAUUGACGUAAUGAUUAAUAGGGAUAGUUGGGGGCAUUAGUAUUCAAUUGUCAGAGGUGAAAUUCUUGGAUUUAUUGAAGACUAACUACUGCGAAAGCAUUUGCCAAGGAUGUUUUCAUUAAUCAAGAACGAAAGUUAGGGGAUCGAAGACGAUCAGAUACCGUCGUAGUCUUAACCAUAAAUUAUGCCGACUAGGGAUCGGAUGAUGUUAAUUUUUUAAUGACUCAUUCGGCGCCUUACG
rnacentral:rRNA from 1 species